ACAGCAGGCUUCCUAGAGGAGGUGUGCAUGCAGCCCAGUAGUCACUGCGGCCACCAAGGAGGGGCCUGGGGAAAGGGGGCUAGCUCACUCUGAACCUCAAAGCUUCUUUUACUUUUUUUUAAGUUUAGUUAUUUUGAGAUGGAGAGAGCACAAAGGGGGAGGGGCAGAGAGAGAGGGAGAGAGAGAAUCCCAAUCAGGCUUGACUAGGGGGCCCAUCUCAUCUCCGUGAGACCAUGACCUGAGCCGAAAUCAAGAGUCAGAGCUUUAGCCGCCGGAGCCACCGGGCGCCCCUGGAGGCUUCGGCCUGGGACCCCCACUCCAGAGCCGCAUGAGGGGGGCAGAGCGGGCAGGACAGCCAGCUCACUUCCAGAGUCCUGACUGUCCCCCGAGUCCGCACGUUCCCUUCACGGUUCCAGAGGAAGCAGCCCCAGGGCCUGGGGACCACACGGACACCCGCAGGCUCGGACCAGACCUCACCGCGGCUCUGGCGGCUGGAGGACCCACGGAGGCCGCAGGAGGCCUCAGACCCCGCAUGCCAAGGCCCCGUCACAAGGCACCUGUUGCCGCCCUUGGCCCGGGUCACUGUGUCCCUCCACCAGGAGGGCAGCUGAGCCAGGCCACCCUCUCCACGCUUCCGGGACCCACAGCUGCCAGGAACCCAUCUGAGCUGUGCCAAGGCGCCUGGUCCUGCUCCACACUCUGGAGGAGUCACAGCCAAGGCAGGGGACCCGGAUGGUGGGAAGACGGUGGCAGAGCCCUAGCAGGAGUCGGCGGCCCGGGGCUGCCCCCUGGGACACGGCUUGAGGGCCCCCUCUGCACCGUCGAGCGGGGCCACCAGCCUACAGAAAGGCAGCAGUGUGGAGAUAACAGACACGCUUCGGUGCCCUGCCAGCCCCAAAACCGGACACCCUGGCUCAUCACGGUCCCCUGUGGGGCUUGGACAAGCCGCCCACUGCUGAUGCCCCCCAAGGCUUUAGGGUCCCAGGGUUCCCCCAGAAGGAAUAAUAAAACUGCUCCUCACUCACAGCCUGGAAUCCCAUCCCCGCCUGGGGCUGCACGUAGCCCGAGGCCGCCUAACGCACACAUGCGUGCAUGAAUGCUCACUCGUGCACACAGCAUGCUCUCCUGAGAAUGCACACAGUGUAUAUGCACGUAUGUGCACACAGCCACGCAAAUGCACGUAGUGCACAUGCAGACAUGCACACACCCACGCAAAUGCACACACAGUGUACACGCACAUACGUGCACACACACAAAUGCACAGAGUGUACACACACGGACACGCACUCACACAAAGGUACACACAGUGUACACGUAUAUGCAUGCACACAGCAUAGAUGCAUGUAUGUGCACGCAC
rnacentral:lncRNA from 1 species